UACGUAGGGAGCAAGCGUUGUCCGGAAUCAUUGGGCGUAAAGCGCGCGUAGGUGGCCUCGUAAGUCCGCUGUGAAAGUCAAAGGCUCAACCUUUGAAAGCCGGUGGAUACUGUGAGGCUAGAGUACGGAAGAGGCGAGUGGAAUUCCUGGUGUAGCGGUGAAAUGCGCAGAUAUCAGGAAGAACACCUAUGGCGAAGGCAGCUCUCUGGGACGGUACUGACGCUGAGACGCGAAAGCGUGGGGAGCGAACAGG
rnacentral:rRNA from 1 species